CCUACGGGUGGCAGCAGUGAGGAAUAUUGGUCAAUGGUCGGGAGACUGAACCAGCCAAGCCGCGUGAGGGAUGAAGGUACAGAGUAUCGUAAACCUCUUUUGUCAGGGAACAAAGGCGGGGACGCGUCCCCGGAUGAGUGUUACUGAAGAAACAGCAUCGGCACACUCCGGGCCAGCAGCAGCGGUAAUACAGAGGCUGCGAGCGUUAUCAGGAUUGAUUGGGUUAAAGGGGUGCGCGGGCGGUCUGUUAAGUCAGGGGUAAAAGCCCGGGGCUCACCCCCGGCCCGCCGUUGAAACUGGCAGUCUCGAGUUGGAGAGAAGUAUGCGGAAUGCGCGGUGUAGCGGUGAAAUGCAUAGAUAUCGCGCAGAACUCCGAUUGCGAAGGCAGCUCACUGGACUGCAACUGACACUGAGGCUCGAAAGUGUGGGUAUCAAACAGGAUUAGAUACCCUAGUAGUC
rnacentral:rRNA from 1 species